rnacentral:rRNA from 1 species
ACGGGAGACACACGGCGGGUGCUAACGUCCGUCGUGAAGAGGGAAACAACCCAGACCGCCAGCUAAGGUCCCAAAGUCAUGGUUAAGUGGGAAACGAUGUGGGAAGGCCCAGACAGCCAGGAUGUUGGCUUAGAAGCAGCCAUCAUUUAAAGAAAGCGUAAUAGCUCACUGGUCGAGUCGGCCUGCGCGGAAGAUGUAACGGGGCUAAACCAUGCACCGAAGCUGCGGCAGCGACACUGUGUGUUGUUGGGUAGGGGAGCGUUCUGUAAGCCUGUGAAGGUGUGUCGUGAGGCAUGCUGGAGGUAUCAGAAGUGCGAAUGCUGACAUAAGUAACGAUAAAGCGGGUGAAAAGCCCGCUCGCCGGAAGACCAAGGGUUCCUGUCCAACGUUAAUCGGGGCAGGGUGAGUCGACCCCUAAGGCGAGGCCGAAAGGCGUAGUCGAUGGGAAACGGGUUAAUAUUCCCGUACUUGGUGUUACUGCGAAGGGGGGACGGAGAAGGCUAUGUUGGCCGGGCGACGGUUGUCCCGGUUUAAGCGUGUAGGUGUGUGUUCCAGGUAAAUCCGGUUCACUUUAACACUGAGGCGUGACGACGAGGCACUACGGUGCUGAAGCAACAAAUGCCCUGCUUCCAGGAAAA